AUAAAAAGCUGAUAUUCAGUCGUGUUUUUUGAUAUUUUGUAAUCGAGUACCUUUUUAAAGGUCUAAUGGCUCCCAUCAGGUGUUGUGUGCAGACGGAGGAAAAAUUCAACGAGUAAACAUAUAUUUAAUCCAAAUUAAAUACUCAUAUUUCUAUGUAAAAUGUCACAUUAUUGUAUAAAUAAAUAAUUAA
rnacentral:lncRNA from 1 species